AGUCUGGUUAGAGCUGUCGGUGCGCUCCGAACAGUCGAGAGUAACCGGAGAACAGAAAGUACUCGUAGACAAGUUCGCGUAUCAAGUUUCGAUGCAAUCAAUUCAAGUUCCGGUGAACUCGCAGGAGUAAAUUAAUUCGCGCAACGCCCGGCAUUCCGCGCGCACUGACAAAAACAGAAAUUCGCCCGAGGAUUUCAGAGCCGCUAAGAGCAAAAGCGAAGGCGGCAAGAAACGCGAAGCCCUCCUUUCAUAAUUAGCAAUUACGACAGUGAUCCCCCGCUCUUCCGACCACCCUCCCGCUCGGAAUCAAUUAAACAAUAAAGCCGGCUUGCGAGAGGCUCGAGCGGAAGUCUCAACUAACGUAAACUGCCAGCUCGCUGCUCGAUCCGUUGUGCGAACACCUAACCGUUCAAAGAGUUCAAGAGUUCACGCGAUCGGCGCGGCGCGGAAGCCAGAUGAUUCGCGAGAAUUCAACACCGUUGAAACGUACUCAUCCUUCGCGCGGCGAUGUGCGUGAAUUACAGCGCUGUUAAGUAGUUAACGAGCAUCGCCGCUGGUGUCAACGUUCGCUGACCAAAGAACAGGAUCAUUCGACAGGAAGUGCUAUCUUUCUACACCGAAUUUCAAUCAGACGGAACCGGCGACCGGCGCGGCGGUUCGCCACCCGUAUCCGGUCAACGAUCGAUCGCACGAUCCCGAUGGAAACGCGUCGCCGCUUACCAACAACCGAUUACAUCGCCGGAUAGAAAAUGGAUAACGGUGCUGUCCGGAAUGCGCGAAAUUUCCUUGGGUUCCAGGCGACAGCCGGGUUCAAACGCCUCCCCGCGGGCCUCGCGAAACCUGCGAGCACUUUUAUUGCCAGAAGUCAAACGGCUAAUGCGCUUAGUUAGCGUGUUUACUUAGUUCAAUGCGCAAAUUGAAUUUUACGCGUUGCGUGACGGACAAUUCAGUAGCCGCUCACUCUAUGAACGUUCUUUCCUACGAGUUUCUUAUGGAAAAUUCAAAGAUCGGAUGAAUUAUUGAAUAGAAAAUGUAAAUUGAUGUUUCUUAAUGUCUAUACGAUCUUUAAAAUGAAUAGCGCACAACUUUGUAGAUGCUUUAUUGCGUGUGAAAAGUGGUAUUCUAUAAAUCAUCAGACUCUGGUUCUACGUUUCCUCUAUGCGAUCUGAGUGUAUGUAACGCUAUGUAAGAAACUAUUUGUGAAACUAUGCACUUAAGUCGACUGUUUCUUGCGGACUGAUGACAGUCCUCACUUUACGCCCUCGCCUGGGCCCUCUGACCUUCGAGGAAAACCUCCCCUUAAGCACUUCAACCUAGACGCAAUAUUAUCCUCGGAUUCCACUGGAAAAUAUUUAAGAUUACUCGCAAGAGAAAAAUUAACCCUUAGCACACGGGAGUUGUUCACUAGAAAUAUUCAACUACAAUUGCUGGAACUCUGAAUAAUAUUCCAAAAUCUAAGAAUCAAUACGAAUGUUAACCCAUUGUAUCGAAGUUUACGUAAAAGAACUUACAAUCAAAUACAGAGUAUUUGCGUCAGACUUCGCGCACGAAAUUUCGGCGAUUGGUCGCACAAUGGCGGAAUCGAGGUAGCAUUUUCAGCGGAUAAAAGCACGGGCGACCGGUCAAUGGCAAAAGUACUCAAAGAAGCACGGAGCACGUGAUUAAGUAAUCACCCGUUUUCCUUCUCCUACACGAUGAGAUGUGUGAUUACCCGUUCGCGUGACGUUGAGAAUUCCGCGCUUUUGUAGCCGAAUUGUCCUCGCCGCUGUCAGUCCGAAUCGAGCGGACCGUCACGCGAGACGCGUCCCUUCGCCCCCAUGGGAACUCUAUUGCCUGCCUUCUCGGAAUCCCGUAAUGACGCCCCACCGCCGCCGGAAUACGGUCGGAGGAAUAAUUUCGGGGUCCGCUGGUGAAAGAAUUGAAUUACCCAGUGAUAAGCAAUUUUAAACUACUUCAAAGGAUAUGGCGCCAUAAAAUGGCAGUAAUGUGUAGACGUUGAGUAUAUCAGAGACUUCCACUCCGCACCGAAUAUUAGCUUCCCAAUUUCAAUCAACAGGAUACAGGCUGCCGCCAACAUGCGGGACGUAAAUUCGACGGGCGGACAAGGGUUCGUCGCCUGUUUGGAACAUGGAAACUGAUCGAUGAUGCCCUGCGCGCGAUGGCAACGAAGAUUCGUCGGCAGAUGAAGAGAAAGACGAAAACCUGACGGAUGUCAUUCCGUUACAGACACGGUGGACCAUUUAUUCCACGUGAACAAGCUCUGUUCUCACAUGGAAGGCACAGUCGAAGACGAUUGGAAACUGUAAUUUUGAUUAAGCCUCGUCUCCGCUGCAUCUCAUUUCUUCCUUUAGAAUGCUACAAUAAAACCGUAGCCAUCAUUAUCGUCAUUCCGACGGGUGCCAUUGACUCUCAUUAACCUGAUUAACCCAGGCCUAACUGUCCGUCCACUUUUGAAAAGAUGAUCCAGGGAAAGUUGGCGCGAUGCAACGUGGCAUCACGCGUGACUAUCCGUUAUCCUUUGUGCAUUAUAUCUCGUUCACGAUUGGAUCGCGCGCAGCAGGCCGUCGAUCCGUUAGUAAAUCACACGGGACGAACAAGAACGCGCAGCGCGCGCGCGCGCGCGAUUCGACACCGAGGCGCAAUGACGAUUUUUCGCGUCACCGCGGCGCGAUGCUGUCAUCGCAGGAUAAUAUGGCAGAUAAUGUUUUUUUUUCCACUGAUAACGACUCGUUGCAACGGAAUGGGGCGCGAUAAGCAGGCGCCCGUUGCGAUGGCGCGCGCAGCGCUCGCCGAGCCGACCGACAGCCGUCCCGUUCGAUUUAACGCCGACCGCGUUUUAUUAUUGUUAUGAUUAUUACCUUCGUUUAUCUGCGUUACGCGGAAUGGAGUAAUGCCUCCGAUCUCGUGGAAUAUCUCCGUUACUCUCGGGCUAAUGAGGAAUAUUCAGUUACGGACGUUCCGUGGAACCGAGGUCGUAAUGUUUUAAUAAUCACUUUUGUGGGUGCUGGGCUUUUUUUCGAAUUCGGGGAUACAUCUGGCUUUCUCGAUGGGAAACUCUGGUAUUCCAGUACUUUAGUGUUUUAGUGUUUUAGUACUUUAGUGCUUUAGUGCUCUAGCACUUUAGAACUUUAGUACCUUAACGCUAGAACUACGAGGCGGUUAAUACGAUUAAUAUGUAAUCCCUAUAAAAAUUGUAACAAGAUUACUUAAGGCAAUUAACAGACAUUCGUUGUAGUAUUCGAGCGAAACUAUCGAGAUCAUUUCGAAUAUUCAAUGUUUCUAAGAUAUUAAUAAUUGCGGAACAAGGAAAUUGAGACCGGUCAUUUUGUACCGUAGUUCUGGUUUAAUGUUCUAGUAGUGCAUUACUGUGUUACUCUGUAGUAGAUGUUUAGAAGAGCAAAAAACAGAGCAAGAAAGGAGAAGGAAGUCGACACUCGUACACUAAUUUCAUCCAUCAACGAAUGCUCGCACGCGGGGAAAUGUAAAUUUUCCUCCACUUUCUAACAUUUUCUCGAGAGACGCAAAGAUUGAAUCGAUCGCACCACUUUCUAAAUAAAAAAAGGGUAUGGAAAACGUCAGUCGAUUUUCUACGAAAUUGAAAGCUCGGGGCGUCGAAUAUUAAGAGUCCCGGUAAACAGGAAACAAUGAAAUGAUCCUCGGGGAUGCAGGCGACAAAGGAGUUACAAGUCAAACGGAUAAAAUCGUUCGAAUCGAAUGCCCGUUCCAAUCGAACGUACCGGGGAGCAGAAAGUGGUUAACAAAGCGACAGUUCGAUCGAUUAACCCGACAUUAUCGUGCAUGUAUAAAUAGCGGUAACUGAGGGAGGCCGAUUAUCUCGCGAGAAGCCUCGAACAAAAGUCCACGAUUUCGCUGGAGUUCCCUUUUAAGCUCCCUACACGCUUUAGAGUACAUUGUGCGAUGUAUAUUACGAUGCAAGAAACUAGGAACUUCAUUCAUAAUCAUCGGAAACCACUGGUUUCGCGAAGCGAGUUCGGAAGAAUUAGUAGUGUCAAUAAUCGAACUGACAAUGGGUCGUACACAGAAACAAUUAUUAGUUUCAGCUAAAAAAGCAACACUCCAGCUUUAUUAUUAACCCUUUGAAUCAUCUGUCACCUUGAAACUCUUAAUAGUGCUAACUUUUUCA